UCCCUCACGGACGCCGCCUGGGAGGAAGACGGCGCGUUCAGCGACCAGUAUCACAGACACAGCCGCUGUGAUGCCGGCUGCUGCCUGUACGUGGGCGGCAGAGAGCAAUCCGCAGACGACGGCCCGUGGCAGCUGCUGCUGUGCAGCUCGUGUGGCUCCCAGGGGACCCACCACCGCUGCUCCUCGCUGGGGGCCACCAGGGGCCUGUGGGAGUGUGAGGACUGCGCGGAGCCCGCAGGGGCGGCAUCCCGCCAGCUCUCUGCCCCGGGGAGACCAGCCACCAGCCAGGCUGCGUGUGGAACCAGGGGCAGCUCGGGUGCGUCUGCCAGAGGCAGGAGGCCAGGACCUACCACACUCACCCCGAGAGCCAGACUUUCCCGUCCCCGGAAGUGAAGACCCUUCGCUGCCCCGGUCCCUGGCUCUGCUACCUACAGAAAUGUCCCCACGAGCUCUCACAGCGUGAGCGACGCCAGCAGGAGUGAGAACGGCAUUGCCCGCUCAGCACCAGUGCUGGGAAGAGCUGUGGACCCCCGGGGUUUCCCUGCUGCUGCUCCUCUCCGUAACAUCCCAGCCCUGCCGGAGCAAGGGGUUGCCCCCCAGAACACACAGAAUGGAUACAAAUCACUAUUUUGCCGGAAGACCAGCUCCCCAGGGAUUUCAUGGCUGUUGGGCAUUGUAGGUCUGUGCAGUCCAUAGCAGCAGAGAAACCCCCACGGAAAAUUAGAUCCGAGUACAGUUUUGUUCUGAGACGUGUCUGUCAAUGCUGCACAGCUCAGUGCCCUGCGUGGAUCCGCGGCACGGCUGCGAGGCGUCUAAAACCCUGUUGUACUGCCUGUUACAGAGCCAAGGUGCCCAUAGGAGGGGAGCUGGGGUCUUGUGUAUCCUUCACCAAAUUCGCACUUGAGUGAUGACAGUGGGGUGUCCAAGGGGGGUUACUAGGUCAUCACCUGAUGACAGUGGGGUACCUACAGGUGAUGUUAGAUUGCAGGCCUGCAGCAAUGGGUAUGUUACCUCCAGGAAUGGUAAAGUUAAACAGGAAACCUCCCAUUAAGAAACCCAGGACAUUCAGAGCAAAGAUUAAUCUGUAGAGCUGCUCAGGAAAUGGCAACAACGUAG